ACUGAUCUGCCAAAUGUGAAAGUGUAUAUAUAAGAUAUACAGUGGGAUGAAACUUGACAAAAAUUGUAUAUCUUCAUGGCUCUCUCUAGGAAAAAUGGCACAUUUCAGCCCCGAUUUUAUUUACUUUCACAAACGGACAUUGACAGAAAAAUAAAAUGUGAUACAAACUCUCUGUAUUAAACACAUUACAACAUGAUACCUGGAGGACAUCAGAGAACAG